UAAGAUAAAAUAAAUCACAAAACAAUUCAAAUAAAAUCAAAUUUCCCCGCCAAAACGAAAAAUCAAAACCUCCGCCUGUCUCUCAAAUGUCGAUGGAGAAAGGUUUGAUAUCAGUGGACCGAUUCACCGAGUCAAGCCAGACAUACUUCUUGACUCACUUACACACAGACCACACUCAAGGCUUGACCUCAAAAUGGGGAAAAGGUCCUUUCUUUUGCUCCAAACUAACCGCUAAGCUCUUACCUUUCAAGUUCCCUGAUUUCAACCUCUCUCUACUUUGCGUCGUCGAUCUUCACAUCUGGCAUUCCUUUUCCUCAUUUCUCCGACCACCGGAUCUCAAAUCACCACUCAUGUCAUGGCUCUUGACGCCCACCACUGCUCUGGUUGUUGACAUCAUUGCUUCUCAUCUGGAACAUGACAUCGUUAUUGGGAUUGAUACUUUGGGGAAAGAAGAGCUUCUAAUUCACAUUUCACGUGUGCUUAACGUAAAGGUACGAUCAUCGUUGAUGUUGAUGGAAGAUUCUGAUCUUUUAUAUGCGUGGAUUAUGAAGGAUGUGUUUCUGUAAAGCACAGAACCAAGUUCUUAGCUCAGUUACCAUGCAAGGUGUUGAUUGAAAUUUAGUGAGUUACUUGCAAAUUACAUUUGCAAACUAUUUCUGGUUCAGGUUUGUUUUAGCUUUAAUUUCCUUUCCUUUGAAGAUUUGGGUGUGGCCAGAACAUUUACAAACCAUGUAUCUUCUUGGAUUCCAUGACACAUUCACAACUAAAACUUCUCUAACAAGAGUCCAAGCAGUUCCUCGUUACAGUUUCAGCGUUGAAACUUUAGAGGGAUUAAACACAAUGCGACCAACAAUAGGAAUCAUGCCAUCUGGUCUUCUAUGGGUGCUGAAACUUGUCAAAGGAGACAACAAUCUCUUCGGUUCGCUCUUAACUUCUCGUUACAAAAAAAAAGACAGUCAUCUGAUAAGCUAGACGGUAAUUUAGGAUAUGCUGAUAGAUACCACCAGCUAGUACAUGUUUUCAGUUCCUUACUCUAAUCACUCAUGCUUUGCAGAGAUACAAGAGUUUAUUGAACUUGUCCAGCCAACUAACAUGAAAGGUAUUGUGUCUUCAUCAUCUUGUUAUGUUGGCCCACUUUACUACUUCGGUCGCCUUUGUGGUGUAAACCAACCACUAAAGAGGUUCGUCUACAAGAAUGAAAGGAAAAAGGGAGGAAAAAAAAAGUUGUUGUAUCUUAUUUUGAAAGUGGCAAUUCUCCCGAGGCAGGAAGGAAAAAAAGCAGGCUAGUAAGAGUGGAUUAUAAAAGAGUUAAUGUAAGUUGAGUGAGCGCAUCAAGAAGAGUACGCCGAGGGGCUAAAAUUGUGGAAAGUGAUUGUUCAGAUUAAAAGUGUUAAUUUUUGUGAUUGGUUGAGCCAGAAAAAUACUUGUAGAAAUACUUGCAAUCAAGCAUAUAUCUGUAGAACUCUGGUAUGGGUAUCGCGUGGUAUCGAAAGUUGCUGGAAAUGAUAAUUUGCCUUGUUUUCAGUAUCUCGAGUUUUACUGUGCAGUAGUUGAUGAACUUCAUCAUGAAGGAUACAUCGAUCCAAAUUCUUCAGGUAUUUUGUUAAUGCAAAACUUAUGGGAUUUUGUCUGCCAGUGCACCCCUUGUAGAUAUUUAAACUCUCUCAAUUAACAUCAUCAGACACUAACUGUGAGACUUUCAGUGCAGGCAUUCACCAAGCUUUAUAAGUGCUUUGCCUCAUCUCAUUCUGCAUGUCAAACUUUAUUGUAUAAGCUGAAAAUGUUCAUUAGUAGUGUCAUGUAUUGAAGAAUCAAGAAAUGGGUUGUAGCCUUGUUGGGUCCCUUGUUAAGGUGACUUUGGUUUGACUGCAAAGUUAGUACUUUUUACGGUCAACAUUCAACCAGAACUCAACACGCGGUCCACCCUUGAAAUGAUGCCAAGAAAAAUGGCCACCUAAGUUUGAAUUGGUGGUGAUUUUCUGUCAUGUUGCAGAAACAUGUGAGAAAUUCGUGGAAUUCUACGUAAAUUUCUUAGGAAAACUCAAAACUUCUGCUACCUUUUGGAAUGCCUUUGCAAGAAACACCUUUUUGGUUAUGUUGAGCUGAUGGUAUCUUAGUUGUUUUCCAUCAAUGCUGACUCCAUCUAUAUGAAUGUGGCUGCUGUGCAUGUUAGUGCACUUAGAACAUGUUUGGAACGCGGUACAAACCGGCGUUUCCAAAAAAAAUUAAUUUUUUUUUUGCUAAAAUUUAAUAUGGUUUGUACGUUUUGGAUCGUUUUGAUUUGCUGAUGUCAAAAAUAAUUUUUUAAAAAUAAAAAAAAUCAUUGGCAUGCAUUUCGGCACAAAAAGUUAUUUGAUAAACAACCGCUACCACACUGCCAAGCACCCUCUUACUCAUGUGUGAUCCUGCUGUUGUUUGCACUUGUUCAUGUUGCUGAUUCCCUAGUGUCUUUGCUCAACUUUUGUCCUCUCAGUUGCUGUUUUGGCACUAAAAAACCUUUGAUGAUACAGGAUGCAAAUGCAACAACAUACCCAGGACCACCGUUUUUACUCUUACAUGUCCAAUGUAAUCCAUGAUACUCUGCCAUAUAUAGUGUAAUAUAGUUGAUCUUUACACCAUGUAAUGGUAACAAAUUCGAGAGAAAUCAUAGAUUAGGAAAUAUAAUGCCAAAGAAAAUAAGAAAACUGUACACCAAACCAGGACUUUACCUUCACAAUGACCUAAAUAAGGGUUUCCUACAAAGCCUGCCAUACUAAAAACAUUGAAGUGUACUCACGUGAAGUGUUCAUUAAGCACCAUUAUAUAUUAUUCAUCAGAAUCAAAGCGACUGCCUUAUUUGAGAUGUGUUGAUGCUACUGACUAACCUCCCCAGUUUCUAGAAAAAAAAGUCUUACUUUUCUUUCUUGUUUGUUGUACGUGACUGAGACAUCAAGACUACAAACUUGCAUAAUGUUCACAUGGACAAACAUUUCACACCCAUUUUCUGCAGGAGAAAUGCCAUCAAUGAAACCGAGGAGGUGAGUGUUUAGGUUUUUAAAAAUCACUUUUCCAUACUCCCCUCUUCCUAGCAUUUACUUUUGAGCAUGUGCUGGUGCAUACAUACACUUUCCAAGCACGCAUAUAAUAAUAAUAAGUAGAGUUAAGAUAUUCAGGUGUUGAAUAAUUUCUCAAGUGAAUUUAGAAUCUUCUAAUGUCUAUAUUUUUUUCAUGUCCUGUUCAAGCAUUUUGUAUCUGUUGUUUAAAAGAAAACAACAAUCAUGGAUAUCAGGUUUGGUGUUUCAGUAUAAUUUUGCAUCUGUAGAUAAACAUUUCAGAUCCGUUUUGUGUAAGCAUAAUGCUAUGCAUCUAGAGAAAAAAAGAAAAAAAGAAGGUGAGAUAUCAGAUCAUGAAUGAAGCUGAAGAUUAUAAACAAGCUGCAAGUGUAAUAUUUGAUAGAGAAUUGUCUGUGAUGCUGGAGUUUUUGUUAGCUUUUUCCGUGUUGCUUUGGUCUAUGAUGGAUUUACUUGUAUAACUUUUUCAAGUGGCGGUUUUGGUCUCUCGAGCAUCUACUCAAGGCUUUAUCCUGCUAGGUUCUAUAUGAUAUAUGCUUUAUUUUUUCUCUAGUUUGGUUUCCUGCCUUGUUUAACUGUUAAAAUCAUGUUUCUUUAAAUUUAAUUUUUUUAUUAUAUUUUUAAAUUUUUUUAAUAUGUUGAUAUCAAAAUAAUUUUUUAAAAAUAAAAAAAAUAUUAUUUUAAUAUAUUUUCAAAUAAAAAAAUAAUUUUUAUAAGUGAAUUGUUUUAGGCAGGGAGAGUUUUGGAAGCAAAAGAGCUUUUCAAGGAUAUACGUGCCCAAAGCCAUUUCCCUGAUUUAAUGACCUACUCAACUUUGCUUGAUGGCUUAAGAAAACAAGGGUAUCUUGAUCAAGCGUUGGGACUAUUUUGUGACAUGCAAAAAAGUUACUUGAAGCCUCAUGAUUUGGUGAUCUAUGAUAUCAUAAUCAUUGCCAUGUGCAGAUAUAGGAAGCUUAAAGAUGCACUGGAGUUGUUUUCGGAACUCAGUCAAAGGGCUGCAGCUUGAUGCUCGGGCUUGGACUAUAGUAAUCAAUGGACUUUGCAGAGAAGGAUUGCUAGAUGAAGCAUAUAAAUCUUUCAGACAAAUGGAAGAGGAUGACCGCCCACCAGAUAAUUGUUCCUAUAAUGUUCUUAUCCGAGGAUUUCUCCAGCACAAGGAUCCAUGAACAGUGCAACUUAUUAGUGAGAUGAAAAGCCAAGGAUUCUCAGCAUAUGCGCAAGCAACAAAGUUGGUGCAUGGUAGAUGAUGAUCAUGUUUUCAAACAGUUGCUUGGAUUUGGUGAAGUACGUGUUUGGGACUAGCAUUUGAUUCUUGUGGGUUAUAAAUCGAUACACGUGGACUUAUGUGUCUGUCAACUGUUUUGGUAGAUUUAAUUGAUGAAAGCUAUUCAAGUUUUCUCUUCAUCAUCCUAAUUAAGAUGCCUCUUCUUCAACCAAAUAAGAAUAUUGGUAGAUUAUUAUUGAAUCACUUCUUCAUUCCAUUGUUAUCUGUCAUGGUGUAUUUUUGCAUAGAAGACUACCCCUUCUUCUCUUUUGUUUUUCUUGGUUUUUGGAUCUUUUGUUCUAUUUAUUUGGAAGUCAAGAUGAUGUAGCUGUUUAAAAGAAAUGUUAAUAUAAUUUUGAUUGGCAUUAAGUAAUUUGUAUGUGAAGUAAUAUGGGAUUGCAUGUUUUGUCUUUUUAGCAAA